UUGGUUUCUUCAUUUGGUAUUUCGAAAUUUGAGCAUGUUAAUCAAUGCUGGAGUGUUUUAAUUGUUUAAAUUUAGCACUGUGUCACAAAUGGUUUCAGUGCAAAAAUUCUGAGACCUAAUGAAAUGAAAAAAUUUACCUAGAACUGCUUUUUUAAUUUACAUGUGCUAUUCUUUUAUGUCACAGAAUGGAUUGCCCAGCGGAAAAUUCUAAAAAAGAGAUGCCCAAAAGAGCACACCUCCCACCAAAGAAGAUGACAUUGUAUGAAACAGACCUCGGCUCACCCAAAGAUGACCAGGAUGGUGGUGAACAACUUGAGGCAUUAGGGUUUCUGGAUAAAGUUGAACAGAUACAACCUCAGGCUGGUGUUAUGGCGACAAAAAGCAGAUCUGGGAAGCAAGAGCUGUAUCCAGAUAGUGGCCUCUUCCUGUCCGAUACCAAUCCAUGAAGAGGCAAGGAAGGACUGCCUUCGCUUACUCCAUCUUCUUUUUGACGGAUUUGUCAGUGUAGAGGAGUGCCAAAAUGCAGUGGCAUUUGGGAAACACGGAAAGGUGCCAGAAGGGAAAGCAGUCCUGGACAAGUCCAAAGUUGAUGGGAUUGAAACCUACAUCAUGCGCUGUGGCACACUGGAUGGAUGGACACUGGUGGAGAAAGCCAAGGUCAAAAAAGCCUUCAUAAACCAUUGCCGCAUAAGGGCCACAAAGAAUUGAAUUCAUGAAUUCUUGAAUGUGGCUAACCAGAUGGAUGUUUUGUUGAGAUAGUUCCAAAAAUAUUUCAGCAUUGGCCAAUUGCGCAACCUUCAACAUCCUCAAAAAGUUCUUGUCUUACCACUGACAUGCUCAGACAACAUUAUGGAAAGGAUCCUUACAGAGGUCAGCCCUUUUGUUAAAAAGUAACACGAUUUUUGUUUAACAUGAAUCAUCCCCGAAAUUACUUCCCCCAAACCGACCAGACUCUAUUCAUAUAAACAGUUAUUUAAUCAUUGUAUAAUUAACUUUCCACUCUUCCAACAAUCACAAAUCAUUUACCGAUUUAUAUGUGGAAAUAUGCAGAUUCUGGUGGGUUUGGCAAAAGCUAUUUCUGAGCUGUUUCUGUUUAAACAAAAAGGAUCUUACUCUUUAACAAAAAGGUCUAUCUCUGUAGGGUUCCUUUCCAUAAUUUCAGAUACUUAGAAUAACAAUCUGAGCCUUUCAGUGGACAGAUACAUUUGCCCUAUAUGAUUACAUUGUAGCCCGGUUCGCGGCUGCCUUACAGUGUUCUUGCUCAAUACUGGACCAAUUUCUUCUUUCUUUUUUUAAUAAUCUUUUCAUUGUUUUAAUACUGGACCAUUUUCAACGAUUGUUGUUCAACUUGUCCAUUAAAUAAAGGG